ensembl:lncRNA
GGUACUUCCACCCAUAUAGAAGGUGAACUAUGUGCUACAAUGAGAAGAACACAGGAGCCUAUCAAAAACACAAGCAAAGCAACGACCUUUGUGCCAUUGCAGGAAUCAACAUGAUUGCAGAGCAGUCUUGCUGCUGCAGGACUACACGAGGCUACAACAGGAGACUUUUAAUUUGGUUUAUCAGCAGGUCAUAUGAAUUUCAGCAAAGUGUUCCAGUCUACCUCAUCUUUUUUUUUUUUUUUUUUUUUUUCAUUUUUAGAAAAUAAAUCAGACUUCAUAACAUAGGCAAGAUGUUAUGAGAAACGCCCCUGAGUUCUGGUCUGAAAAUCACCAUGUCUCUGGAAAGGAGAAGGCUGGAGCACCCCUCCUACGAAGAGAGGCUGACGGAGCUGGGCUUGCUCAGCCUGGAGAAGAGAAGGCUCCAGAGAGACCUCACUGUGUUCAGCCAGUACUUAAAGGGAGAUUAUAAACAGGAGGGGAAUGAACUUUUAAAACAGGCCCCUCCAAAGCACAACAUUGAUGCCAAGACCACAAAUGGAAGCCACAAGGAGGAAAAUGAUAAGCAUCUUUGCAUUUCCUGGCACUCAGGCUGCCUCAGCAAGGAAUUCAUUCCCUGCCUGAACUGCUCAGCAAUAUGCACACCGUUUUACAUUCCUAGGUGUGUCUGAGUUCAGAGGCACUCUAAGGUCACCAUGAACUCUUGGAUCUCAGCUCUCUGCUGUCCAAGGUGCAGGACUGUCCUUAGGCAACACCAGGACACCAAAAACGGAGAGAAAUGGGACUGGAGGAGGAACGUAGCCCACAGAGUGCUUCAGUAUGAUGCCAUCCCCCAACUGAGCUGUUUCUGCAUCUGGCCAUCAAAGCUCUUGUCGUGUGGACGAAAUCUUGAGACACAUUCAAGACGAUUUACUAUUCUGCUCUACAAAUUGGAUAUUUACAGGCCUGGAUUGAACAUCUAUAUUCCUCUACCCAGAAGUAGCACAUAUUGACCCAAUUUCUGUGCUUAAUAGUAUGCUGUAAAUCCAGACCAACUUCACAUAUUUCAGCAGAUUUACUUCAAGGUGACUGAGAUUAGAACAUGACGUAGAGAAAUAUGUUGCUUCAGCCACAACUAUCUUUUCACUUGUUGGUUUAACACCCCUGUGCUGCUUAAUUAGGGGAAUGCUUCAGAUCUGAUCUUAAACAAACCAAUAAACCCAAAGCAAUAACCACCUUAUCUACUUCACUCCGACCUUCGCUGAAAGGCCUCCUCAGCCUUCACCUCAUAAUUUUAUGCUGACUGUGGGGAACAUCCUAGAGCCAGAAGGAGAUCAGAGAGGACAGUACCAUAUCUCCCAGUUACUACCUUUGUCCAGGCUUUUGCUCAUUGCACUCCUCGAGUUACUUGCUUUUUCUUGCCUUUUAUAUGAUUUUGAAAGGCAAACAGCAACACGUUUUGUUUCCAGACACUAACAUACUUUAAAGUUUGCACUCAACCCGUAGGAUUUGCAGGGCAACAGUCGUCAUCACUGUCGCCAUCGUCAAAGUGUCCUGGAAACCCAUUCCUGUAGAGACGGCAAGGCAGAAAGGGUUCAGCAUGGCAGUAGAUGGCGCUGAAGACCUUGGAGCACACCAAGGAGCCUUGGAUGACCCACACACCUUCCGAGGCCUCUCAAGGAGCCUUUUCCCCCUCUGUUCCUUUGCUUUCCGAAAGAGCAACCACCACACAGGGACGCGAGAAGACCUUCCCAAUGAAAUUUGGGCCACUGGGGCUCAGUGCAGAGCAGGCUAAUCUUAGAGAAACUCUUAGUAGAUGGGGGAUCACACACUGUGGAUGAGAGUUACUGGCUCUAACAGGGAGCGUGAAAAUGGCAGCAAACCAUGCACCAUGGAACAGCCCUCUUUCUGGGUAGGUGUAGUGCCUUCUCCAACACUUUGCUACUCCCUCAUUUGCAGAGUUCAGCAUGGUUGCAGAGAGCUGAUGGCCUUCUUUCUCUGAUUGCAAUAAUCUCCCCAGACGCAAUUACAUUUAUAGCUUCACAGGUGUGUCUGCAAUUACAGAAGUGCUGCAAGUCAGCUCCAAGCCACUGUCUGUCACUGUUACCACGAGACUGCUGGGAACAUGUGACUACCUGUACCGUGAGAUUUCAGGUCAUCUGAACCUUCAUUCUUUCUCUUAUCUGAUAGAACAUGUCGUAUCUUAUGUGUAGCUCAAUGAAUCUGAAAAAAUAUUACCUUGACCUCCCUGACUUCCUUGUCUGUUCUUCCUGGUUUCAGGGGAAAAGUAGAAGAAAAUAAUUCCUUGGUCUUUUAUGGAGCAAAGGAUGUACAUACGUUAUAUCCAGUAGAAUGCUAUACUUUAUGGUGCACUGGCUUUGGGAUUACAUUGGUUUCCUAGGUGGGAAAUGCAGAUUUGUGUCAUUCCAGUGAUGGGUAGUUCUGACACUCUCCAGAGUUGCCUGACCCCAGCUACCUAUCCAGUCAAUGGAGUUGAUGGUGUCAGUGGUAAAAGGAUGUUCAUAUCACCUCCAUCUAAAGUAGAGAUCACAUCUACUGCUUUCACAGCAAGCCAGGCAUCACCCACCUUUCUCUUACACUGCAAUGGGGGCACUGAAGCAUGUUGCAGGAUCUGCAGUGGGAAAUCUCAACUAAGGUUUGUGUCUUCUUAGUAAAUUGCUGUCAUAAAAACUAUACAAGCAUCGAUAAGGAUAAAACAUCUCCUUAAUUAUCUGUGGAUAUAAGAGGCAGAUAGACUUUUGCCAGAACAAAAUAUUCAGCCUUUGUUUAGUGCCUCUUUAGUUAUCAGUUCCAAUUCCCUUCCUAAGUCUCACAGGGCAAUGGAGAAUCACCCCAAGGGUCACUUCUGGUUAAAACCCUGGCUCCAAAAAAAUACUCUGGUUGCGUGAGAACUCUCCUCUGUUUUACAUCCUUGAGGACAUUAAAAAAACCAUUUCCCUUGGGGCCCAUUCCCUGACCUCUGGCAUUGUUAUUCAUCCUAUGACAGUUCUUCAUGAAUUAGUAGCUUAUUGGGUAGUAAUGGUGAUAGGAGGACAGUUGGACUAGAUGAUCUUGUAGGUCCUUUCCAACCUUGUGAUUUUAGACAGGCAAUUCAGUUACUCAGUGAACACUGUUUUCUAAUCACCACUGUCAACAUUUCAAACUAAUUUGCCCCACUAACAUUUUCCCCAGUUUCCAUCAAGCUGGGACAGACCCAAAGGUGGCUAUCAUGUGUCACGUGUGCUCACCAUCAAGGAAAGCUUUUCUCCCAGGUGCCACACCUCCACAUUUUCCCAGUGGCUUAAUUCAGUCUGUCUAUGGAUGAAGUGACCGUAGAGUCCAUCAGAAACUUUUCCUUUUGAGUCACACGAGGACGUGGUUUUUUUCUGGGUAGCUACAUCAGGAUGAUCAGGACAUCAAUCACGGUAUCAUUAAGGUUGGAAAAGACCACUAAGCUCAUCCAGUCCAUGGACCAUCAACCCAUCCCCAACAUGCCCAUUAACUACGUCCCUCAGUGCCACAUCUGCCCUUUUCUUGAAAGACCCCCAGGAAUGGUGACUCCCCCACCUCUCUGAGCAUCCUGUUGUAAAAUCAGCGCACACACCAGAUUCAUACUGACUCAGCCAAAU